rnacentral:rRNA from 1 species
UACAGAGGGUGCGAGCGUUAAUCGGAAUUACUGGGCGUAAAGCGUGCGUAGACGGUUAUUUAAGUCGGAUGUGAAAGCCCCGGGCUCAACCUGGGAAUUGCAUUCGAGACUGAAUAGCUAGGGUGCGGUAGAGGGAAGCGGAAUUUCCGGUGUAGCGGUGAAAUGCGUAGAUAUCAGGAGGAACACCGGUGGCGAAGGCGGGUCUCUGGGCAACAACUGACGCUGAGGAGCGAAAGCGUGGGGAGCGAACAGG